UCCAGUUGAUCCUGCUGGAGACUACUGCUAUCGGGAUCCGACUAAGCCAUGCAAGGCGCGAGGGUUUAGACCCUCGCCGAACGGCUCAGUAACACGUAGAUAACCUGCCCUCAGGUGGGGGAUAAUUUCGGGAAACUGAAGAUAAUACCCCAUAGAAGAUGAAUACUGGAAUGUUUCAUCUUCCAAAGCUCCGGCGCCUGAGGAUGGGUCUGCGGCCGAUUAGGCAGUUGGCGGUUUAACGGACCACCAAACCUAUGAUCGGUACGGGCCAUGAAAGUGGUAGCCCGGAGAGGGACACUGAGACAAGGGUCCCAGCCCUACGGGGUGCAGCAGGCGCGAAACCUCCACAAUGCCUGAAAGGGUGGUGGGGGGAUCCCGAGUGCCUAUACUUUGUAUAGGCUUUUGAUGAGUGUAAAAAGUUCGUCGAAUAAGAGGUGGGCAAUACCGGUGCCAGCAGCCGCGGUAAUCCCGGAACCUCAAGUGGUAGUCACAUUUAUUGGGCUUAAAGCGUCCGUAGCCGGACAUAUAAGUUCCUCGUGAAAUCGUUCGUCUCAGGCGAACGGCGUGCUUGGAAUACUAUAUAUCUAGGGACCGGGAGGGGCAGAGGGUACGCCUGGUGUAGGGGUAAAAUCCUAUAAUCCCAGGUGGACCGCCGGUGGCGAAGGCGCUCUGCUAGAACGGGUCCGACGGUGAGGGACGAAAGCGUGGGUAGCGAUCCGGAUUAGAUACCCGGGUAGUCCACGCCGUAAACGCUGCCCGCUAGGUGCCGCAUAUUCCUCGAGAGUAUGCGAUGCCGAAGAGAAAUCAUUAAGCGGGCCGCCUGGGGAGUACGGUCGCAAGGCUGAAACUUAAAGGAAUUGGCGGGGGAGCACAACAAGGGGUGAAGCUUGCGGUUCAAUUGGAUUCAACCCCGUGAACCUCACCGGGGGCGACAGCAGAAUGAAGGCCAGUCUGAAGGGCUUGCCUGACGCGCUGAGAGGAGGUGCAUGGCCGCCGUCAGCUUGUGUCGUGAGAUGCCCUGUUAAGUCAGGUAACAGGCGGGACCCUCGCCGCUAAUUGCCACCUUUUCCCUUCGGGGAGAAGAGCACAAUAGCGGGACUGCAUGGGCUAACCAUGAGGAAGGUGAGGGCGACGGUAGGUCAGUAUGCCCUGAAUCCCUCGGGCUACACGCGAGCUGCAAUGGUCAGGACAAAGGGAAGCAACCCCGAAAGGGGAAGCAAACCCCCCAAACCUGAUCUCAGUCCGGAUCGAGGGUUGAAACUCACCCUCGUGAAGUUGGAAUCCCUAGUAACCGCAGUUCAUCAAACUGCGGUGAAUACGUCCCUGCUCUUUGCACACACCGCCCGUCAAACCACCCGAGUUAGGUUGGGGUGAGGCCCUGUCCAUAGGUCAGUGUCGAACCCUGGCUUAGCGAGGAGGGUUAAGUCGUCACAAGGUA
rnacentral:rRNA from 1 species